rnacentral:rRNA from 1 species
CCUACGGGAGGCAGCAGUGGGGAAUAUUGCACAAUGGGCGCAAGCCUGAUGCAGCGACGCCGCGUGGGGGAUGACGGCCUUCGGGUUGUAAACCUCUUUCAGCACAGACGAAGCGCAAGUGACGGUAUGUGCAGAAGAAGCACCGGCCAACUACGUGCCAGCAGCCGCGGUAAU